UUUAGGGCCGCACCUGUGGCUUAUGGAGGUUCCCAGGCUAAGGAUCAAAUAGGAGCUACAGCUGCCAGCCUACACCCCAGCCCACAGCUACAAUAAUGCAGGAUCCCAGCCAUGUCUGUAACCUAUACCACAGCUCACCGCAAUCCCGGAUCCUUAAGCCACUGAGCAAGCAAGGCCAGGGAUGGACGAAAACAACCUCAUGGUUCCUAGCUGGAUUCAUUUCCACUACGCCAUGGAGGGAACUCCAACUCUGUCAUUCUUGACUCAAGGCAAAGAGUAUUUAAACAGCCUUAGAUCCCAAUACUGAUUUCUGGGCCCCUGUGGCUCUCUUGAAUAAAAAUCCUAGCUUAGGGGAAGUAGAAGAGGAUUUUUCCUUAAAUUUGGGCCCAUAUUUAUGAACUUAGACCUGGGCUCUUGAAUAAAUUUGUUUUUUUCUCUUCCUUUUUUUUAAAAAACUGCUUUUACUAUUACCAUGGCACAAUUAUAAUAAGAUUUCUUUCUUUCUUUCUUUUGAUCUUUUUAGGGCACACCCAUGGCAUAUGGAGGUUCCCAGGCUAGGGAUCAAAUCGGAGCUAUAGCCACUGGCCUACGCCACAGCCACAGCAAAGCAGGAUCCCAGCCAUGUCUGCAGCCUACAUCACAGCUCAUGGCAGUGCCGGAUCCUUAACCCACUGAGCAAAUCCAGGGAUCCAUCCGGCAAUUUCAUGGUUCCUAGUCAGAUUUGUUUCUGCCAAGCCACCUUGGGAACUCCCUAAAAUGUGAGUUUCUUUAUCACAAGGUUGAUGAAAUGAACUGAGUCAGCCUGCAUCGUAGCUGGGCAACUGGCAUUCCAAAGCCUGGGAGACAGUUGCCAAUAGCAUUGCAUCUGAAAUUCAUAUUAUUACGGGGCUUACUUAUAUUUUUGUGUAUUAUCAUCUCAUUUAAUUUUCUUUUUUUAUCUCAUUUAAUUUUCACUAAACCCCAUAAGAAAAAUAUGACUAUUAUAUACAUUUGCAAGAUAACAAUGUUGCAGUUUAGAGAAGUCCCUUGCCCAUGAGUGCAGAUCACUUUUUGUUUCUAGCCCAGAUAUGACUCACUGGACUGCCAUAGAUUUUAUCCACCAUAUUAAAAUUUGCUGCCUUUGUCACUCUCCUUAAAGACUAAGAGCCUUAACGUUGAACCCUAGCCUGGUACAAACAGAAGAUAGACUUUCCUGAUAACACCAGCAGCCCAAAAGACCCCAGAGGAGAGUCUGUCCCCUCCACCCCACUGUCAAGGUCUGUUUGUCCCUUCCAGGAAUGACCUGCCUCCUUUGCUGAGUAUGGCUCCAGGCACACUAGGUGGUGCUGACACUUAAACUGUGUGACCUUAGCUGAGUAACUUGGCCUCUCUGACUUCAGCUUCCUCUUCUGCCAGAUGAAUAUAUUGAUGAUGGUCAUGCUCUCCGGUCAUGUAGAUGACAAAGAAUACACAUGUAACCCCUGCACUGGUACCUAGGUGCUCACUUGAUAAAUGGCACCAUCCUUCCUUUUGCCAGUGCAACUACCAGCUACUUGUCCACUGCUCAGUGUGCUUAUUUUCCAGCUCUCAGUUGAUGAGUAUCAUGCUAGCCUUGAAAUUUUUCCUUGAUGGUGUUUAUUCUUUGCUACUAAGAAAGAAAAUCAUUCAAGUUCCAAAACCCUGAGAUACAAUAGGUGGUCAUUGUUAGGACAAGUUUCUAUUGUCUAUCACAACACUAACUUUAAAAAAUAUAUCCUGGUGUUUUGCGGUGGGGAGAGAAGAGCCAAUAUUCUGUGAAAUAUUUUUUGACAGUUUUAAUGGAUGACCUAAAAUUUAGUAAAGU
rnacentral:lncRNA from 1 species